UUUAGAUUUUUCUAGAGCUUAAAAAUCCAUAUAAUUUUUAGUAUAAAAAAUUAGAUUAGAUCUAAUUUUCAUCAUAAAAAAUUAGAGAAAAAAAAUUCUCAAAGGUGUGAAAAUAAGAGAGAAAAGUUUUCUCUUUUGUGUGAAAAAAUUAAGAAGAAAGGGUUCUCUUGAUCUCUAUUAUGGAGAUCUGAUACGUAGAUCUAGAAAGAAAAAGAGAGGGUCUUCUUAUUCUUCAUCUUCGUGAUUCCUCUUAGAUCAGCCAAAGCAUGAUGUUUACAUAAACUAGCACUCCCACAGAGAUCGAUCAGCACAAGGGCUUCGUGUAGAUAUCUGUAAAGGCCAGAUGCAUGUAUGGCUGCCAAGUAUUAUGAAGAAUCAAGUACCAUGGAUUUCAGAUACGAUGAUAUACUAUCUAUGCUCAGGUAUGAAAUUUUGAUCUCAAUUAAUAUUUAGAUAUGAUCUAAAUAUAAAUUAGAUAUGAUCUAAUUACAAAUAGAUAUGAUCUAUACUUACUGAAUUUUAGAUUUCAGUUUUGGAUGCAUGUAUAUUAGUUCAUGUCAUAGAUCCUAUAUGGUGAUUUUAGAUUUGAUCUAUGUAUGCAUUAUAGAUUAAAUUAUUUAAUCUAUGUAUGUUUCACUGUAAAUUUUUAAAAAUGCAUGCACAAAACCCACCACGCUUCCUUUCAAAUGGUAUUAGAGUGAAGGUUCAUUAUGACAUGAAGAUAUAUGCAUGUAAAGUUGAAAUUUAAAUUUUACAAUGCAUGAGAUGUAUUAUGAUCUGAUUUUAGAUAUAAUCUAAUAUAAAAUCAAAUCUAAUAUAAUUUAGAUUUGAUCUAAAUUUUUGCAUAUAUGAUAUGUAAAUUAAAUUAGAUGUUCUGAGUAGUAAAGUACUCGGACUGGAUAAUCACCAGCUCGUCCGGUCAUAGGAGCAAGUAGAGUUACAUGAUCCUUUCUUUCCAUUCAAUGGGGUGCUCUUCAUGGCAUGUCAAGGUGCUAAUGUGAGGUCUCAUGAAAAAGAAUGUGAAAGGAAGAACUUAUUUUUUUGCAAAAUCCUAGAUGUUGAAACCAUAGGAUUUGUUGUAUGUGAUACAAAGCAUGAAUUGUAUGAAAAAUAAAAUAUCUAAUCUAUAUGAUUAAAAUUAUUUUAAUUUAAAAAUAAAAUUUAAAAUUAUAAAAUAUUUAGAUAUGAUCUAAAGUUUGUUAUGAUUGAUUUUAUUUUAGUUUAUGUAAAAAUUUUUAGAUCUGAAACUAUGUGAUACCUAUUGGCAUGCCAACCGAGCCAACUAGUUUUGAACUGAGUCGACCCAGUCUCCUAUUUUAAUUGGUUCAGUAUUGACUGACCCGACCCAAUUAUCUUAGGCCAAACAGUAAUGGUUAAUAUUCAUAAUUAGUUAGUCGAUCAAGUAUCAGACUUAGUCAGCUUACUGAAGUGAGCCAACUCAGUUCAGGGGUGAGCCGAUCUAGUUUUUGAAACAAAAAAUUUUGCAUAAAAAUGAUGUAAAAUUAUUUUAUAAAAAUUGAAAUAAUUUUAAUUAAUAACUUUAACCCAUGUUAAUGCUAUACUUAAUUGAGAAUUAAAAAAUAUAUUUUAGAUCUAGAUUUGUGAUUAAAGAUCUAAUGAGAUUGCAUAAAACAUAAGGCAUGGGAUAGCUCAAAUCAGAUCCUUUUAAUUGGGUUAGAUCUAAAGUUAGAAUCAAAGACUUAAUUGACUAAAAUGAGUAGUUGAUUCAAUCUAACUAAUAGUUGAUUUAGAGUAGAUCAAGGAUACUCCAGAUUAAAAAUAAUAGUUAUAAAUAAUCAAGUCCAUAUCUUUGAUUAAACC
rnacentral:lncRNA from 1 species